rnacentral:rRNA from 1 species
AUCAUGAGUUCACAUGUCCGCAUGAUUAAAGGUAUUUUCCGGUAGACGAUGGGGAUGCGUUCCAUUAGAUAGUAGGCGGGGUAACGGCCCACCUAGUCAACGAUGGAUAGGGGUUCUGAGAGGAAGGUCCCCCACAUUGGAACUGAGACACGGUCCAAACUCCUACGGGAGGCAGCAGUGAGGAAUAUUGGUCAAUGGGCGAUGGCCUGAACCAGCCAAGUAGCGUGAAGGAUGACUGCCCUAUGGGUUGUAAGCUUCUUUUAUAAAGGAAUAAAGUCGGGUAUGCAUACCCGUUUGCAUGUACUUUAUGAAUAAGGAUCGGCCAACUCCGUGCCAGCAGCCGCGGUAAUACGGAGGAUCCGAGCGUUAUCCGGAUUUAUUGGGUUUAAAGGGAGCGUAGAUGGAUGUUUAAGUCAGUUGUGAAAGUUUGCGGCUCAACCGUAAAAUUGCAGUUGAUACUGGAUGUCUUGAGUGCAGUUGAGGCAGGCGGAAUUCGUGGUGUAGCGGUGAAAUGCUUAGAUAUCACGAAGAACUCCGAUUG